rnacentral:rRNA from 1 species
AUUGAACGAUGGCGGCAGGCCUAACACAUGCAAGUCGAACGAGUGGCGGACGGGUGAGUAAUGUCUGGGAAACUGCCUGAGGGAGGGGGAUAACUACUGGAAAAGGUAGCUAAUACCGCAUACCAUCAGAUGUGCCCAGAUGGGAUUAGCUAGUUGGUGGGGUAACGGAUCACACAGGCGAAGAUCCCUAUCUGGUCUGAGUGGAUGACCAGCCACACUGGAACUGAGACACGGUCCAUACUCCUACGGGAGGCAGCAGUGGGGAAUAUUGCACAAUGUGCGCAAGCCUUAUGCAGCCAUGCCGCGGGUAUGAAGAAGGCCUUCGGGUUUUAAAGUACUUUCAGCGGGGAGGCGUUACCCGCAGAAGAAGCACCGGCUAACUCCGUGCCAGCAGCCGCGGUAAUUC